UGUGAUUGGUCACUCGCCAGCCUGCUGUCGAAGUGACGUCACUGCAGGCGAGAGCUGGCUGAGGAGGAAGCAUUAAGGAGAGAAACUAGAGGCUCAGAAGGCAGUGCGAGCAUCACAGGCGUGGUGGCAAGUAGCAGCGAACAUCGGCUCUCGGCACCACGGGAAUUGAUUGGGGACCGGGUAAGCGCGAAGAUGAUUUGUGUCACGGGUUGAGGCCGACUCGCAGUUAGGAGCAAAUACUGUGCGUAGACCUACCGGGAAGAAUUCCCCAUCUUGGAAAUAAACUGCUACUUCAACAUGGAUCGUUGAAACAUUAGCAUUCGUUGACUGAACACCCUCUGCGCUUGUCAAGAAACCCCAGCAGCUGAUCCAUGUCUUGUAGUUGAAGCUGUUGGAUGAUUCCUACUACCAGCAGCCUAAAAUUGUUCUGGUAACCCAUCAAGAUGGUACGCUCUCGGCUACAGCAUCCACAAUGGAGCCCCUCAACCCGUCGCCUGGUUGAUCAUACAGUCUUAACGGAGUGGAAUAAACAUUUCAUCGUACAAAAAGUCAGGCGCUGGCAAUGCGUUGCCAGGCUUUGUGGAUAAAAAGGAAGUCGGUUACUAUCUUUGGUUAUCUAGCUGUAUGAGUGAUAAUCUAUCGUCAUAAAGCUAGAUCACCGAAAGUAGAAAUGGCAUCCCAAAACAGCGAUUUGGACGAAUGGUUUUCCAAAAUACCAAGAACAAAUGAGCAUGUUCGGGCCAGUCUGAAGCUAACUACAAAGGUACGGUCCAAAUCCCCCAUCAACGACAUCUGUAACGGCACCGAGCCUAACAGCAGCAGGCCUACAUGUGUCCGCCUGCCACCUACUCUGGGGGCUCGAGGGGAAGAAGAAGGCAGGAAGGGAAGGAGGUGGGGUGAAUGGCACAAUCGUCCAAAAGAAAUAAUAGUCACCCUCUUACACUCCUUCUACCAACACCCACCACACACACACACACACACAGACACACACACACACCCCUUUGCCCCUCCCCUCCAUCAACGGAAGCCUUCGGUGCCAUCUGUGCCCCCGGGAGGAUGGAAGAAAGAAAGGGGUGCGAAAAAUAAGGACAAGCUCCAGCCCUGGUGCCAAUGUGGGGACAAAGAGGCUGUUGGUUUCCACGCUCCUGGCGUCUUUCAGCAGGGGAAGGGGAACUGUAAUGCUACAGCUAGGCUGGCUGAGCCUGCUCCAGAAGCCAUCUUGAUGAAGACUCACGCCUGCCCUAACUAAAAUGGCUGUGUUGGCAUGAGGGUUUUGGAGAAGACUGCAAUUGAACAACAAGAGAGCAUUCAGCAUUCA